rnacentral:rRNA from 1 species
AGCGAACGCUGGCGGCAGGCCUAACACAUGCAAGUCGAACGGAUCCUUCGGGAUUAGUGGCGGACGGGUGAGUAACACGUGGGAACGUGCCCUUUGGUUCGGAACAACUCAGGGAAACUUGAGCUAAUACCGGAUGUGCCCUUCGGGGGAAAGAUUUAUCGCCAUUGGAGCGGCCCGCGUCAGGUUAGCUAGUUGGUGAGGUAAAGGCUCACCAAGGCGACGAUCAGUAGCUGGUCUGAGAGGAUGAUCAGCCACAUUGGGACUGAGACACGGCCCAAACUCCUACGGGAGGCAGCAGUGGGGAAUCUUGCGCAAUGGGCGAAAGCCUGACGCAGCCAUGCCGCGUGAAUGAUGAGGGUCUUAGGAUUGUAAAAUUCUUUCACCGGGGACGAUAAUGACGGUACCCGGAGAAGAAGCCCCGGCUAACUUCGUGCCAGCCGCCGCGGUAACAC